rnacentral:misc_RNA from 1 species
CAGAGUUUCUAACUCACAACCCAUCGUGAACAUACCUUUGUUGCUUCGGCGCGCUUCACGGCCGCCGAAGACCCUAAACUCUUGUUUUUACAUGUGUUACUCUGAGUAAUUCUUGAAAUAAAUCA